rnacentral:rRNA from 1 species
UGCCAGCCGCCGCGGUAAUACAGAGAGUGCAAACGUUGUUCGGAAUUACUGGGCUUAAAGCGCACGUAGGCGGCGCCAUAAGUGUGAGGUGAAAUCCCACGGCUUACCCGUGGAACUGCCUUGCAUACUGUGGUGCUAGAGUAUGGUAGGGGAGAGCGGAACUCCUGGUGGAGCGGUGAAAUGCGUAGAUAUCAGGAGGAACACCGGUGGCGAAGGCGGCUCUCUGGUCCAUUACUGACGCUGAGGAGCGAAAGCUAGGGUAGCGAACGGGAUUAGAUA